GAUUUCGAAAUCCCUAAGGGUGUGUUCAAGAGAGUGGCCAUAGUUUUUGGAUCCUUUAUUUCUAUCAAGAAAGGGCGGACGGGCCGAUGUUAUUCAAGGAC